CACGCGGUCCGAGCAGCUUUGUAAAGAAAAAAAAGACAACCACACACGCACGGGCUCGCCUCCUCUCCCUCUUGCCGACGAAGUCACCGCCGCCGCCGCCCACGCCGGCCGCUUCCGGCGAUCUCUGGCGCCGCACAGCACGGCCCCGAGCUCCCCAUGCUCCGCGCCUCCCUCCCCUCCGGCCAGAUUCUCAUCUCCUGGCCUCUACCGCCCGCUCGCAACCACACCCCCGUGGCUAGGGUUCCGGGCAGUGCUUCGCCGGCGCGUCUCCGGCGGCCCCAGACGCAGAUGGAGCACGCCAUGGGAGUUCCCCAUCCACCAUGGUCGUCGUCGUCAAGGGCUUCUUCAAGGAGAUGUGAAGGACGCCAUGGACCUGCAGCUACUCAAGGUCCCUCAAAGAGAAGCGUUUUUCAUAUGCUCCUGAAUCUGGUGUGCGGUAUGAUGGAGUUUACAGUUUGAGAACUGUUGGAGGAAGACUGGUAUUCAGGUAAUUUUACUUUACUAAAUGUACAGAGGUUCCACAUGCUGCUCUCUACUUUGUUCCUGUAUAAGGCCAGAGCUACUAUAAGGUGAUGAUAUGCUACAGUGUGCAGUUUGCUUUAUGUUUGUUUUGUUCAUUUGAUUGACCCUGAAAAAACUGAUUCCACCGCAUCUCUUUAUGACAGCAUGUUGUCCUUUGGUUUCAGUUCCUGUAAUGUCCGUAAGGUUAGUUUUAAAGAGAUGUAUGAUUCUAUUCAGUUCUAAUUUUAGAAGAACAAACAAUUGUUAAAGAAUGCCCAUUACUACUGGUUCUGAUAUGUAGAGGGAUGGCAUUUGUUCAUUUGAUUGCUAAAGCCAACAUCUAAAUAGUGAAGGACGUAACUGAUAAAUCAUCACAACAAUUCCCGGCGCAGCAAAGCGCGCAUGUUCAUCUAGAUCCAAGCAGCUCUUUUCAGAUCAAUUAAGGAAUCAAUCUCAUGAUGGUUUAUGCUUGAUGCAGCGGAGGGUCACAGAUUCACAGGUGUAAGGAUCGGUACAAUUGGGCCUCGCAUUAUUUUUUUUCCAGAAUUGGGUGUGCGUACUCUCUAAACUGAAUUGAGUGAGCUAAAUCUAUGCAUCUAAAUUGUAGUCUGUAGCUUUAUGUGUUACGUCUUAAGGUUCAAAUUGAAGAUUGCCUUUGGGAGUAGUUUUAGUUGGUAGAAGAUUCAUUCUACAAAUACACACACAUUAUGUGCUUAAUGUGUGGCAUAAACAUGAUCAGUUUUAUGUUUAGAAACCAAAUCACUGUCCACCCAUUUUAUUUCUUCAUGACUAUUUUGUGUUGAAAUCAGAUCACCAUUCACCUGUUAUGUGUAUUGUUGUCUUUAAUUUUUUUUGCCUAUUCUCAAUAAAAUGCUCAGUUUCAGGAUGUGAUUUUCAGUUUUAGGCAUUUGGUACUUUCGGCAUCGAGAAAAAAAUUGUUCCUCUGAGCGUGUACCUUCAAAUGCAAAGUUCUGACUAUGAUUUCGCGUGCAACCACAGCGCCGUUGGCCGCGCUGCCUACCGAGUGCCACCCCGCCGCCUCCUCCCACCCCCCAUCUGGGACCUCACCGCCCGCUCCCCGCCCGGUACACCCACAACGCUUGAGUCUGAGCAGACGCCAUUGGCCCGUGGGCACAGAAGUAGAGUCCAGGAUGGUGAUGGUGCCAAGGAGGACUCUCGAACGCCGAUUGAUUGCAUCGUUGCUGCCGUACCCAUGGAGUGGCGCGGCUCCAACCACUCUGAGAUGAGGAAUCAGUACAACAACAGAACUUGAAGCUGACAAGGAUAGAUGAUGGUUGGUUUUGGUGGAGAGAUCAGGUGCAUAUGAACAACCUAUUAUCUUCCAUUUUUUGUUUUUCAUCAUUCAACGGGACAAUUUCCUAAUUCUUUUUUAGUACUGUCUGGAAAGGUUAUUAGUACAUAUAGGUUUUGUCAAAAUUUAUUAGCACAUAUGAGGGUUUUUGUUUGGAUCCCCUUUGGCUCUACAUAAUUCUUUGGAGUGGGAUUCUAGAUAGAUGCUUUUAUUGAUUUUCUCUCAUUGCAACGUACGGGUAUGUUUACUGUAAUAAUAAAGUCAGAAGGAGAAGGGCGAGGUCCAGAUGGAGCUCUGCCAGUUCCGCCGCUUUCAUAUCUCGACUGUUGCUGCUAGCUCUACUCUGCUCAACGAUAAAUUCUGUGUGGUUAGUUAAUUUACUAGGUAAAUUGCAUAGCUCAGUAGCAUGCACACAUGAACGCUCAAGUUACAUGUUUGGCCAGCCAUUCCUUGGCAGCCUAUGGCUAGGCUUCCCAGCAGAUGGAGAUGCUCUGGUUCAGAAUCUUAUAACAUGAAUUAUUGAAUAUUACGCAUUGUUUUAAAUCAAUUUAUUGAGCUAGAGACAUAAAAAAAUUUAUGCAUUGUUUUAAAUCAAUUUAUUGAGCUAGAGACCCUCCUAGGUAAAUUAUGGAGAUGCUCUGGUUCAGAAUCUUAUAACGUGAAUUAUUGAAUAUUACGCAUUGUUUUAAAUCAAUUUAUUGAGCUAGAGACAUAAAAAAAUGAUUUUUUUAGUAACAGAGAGUACGUGUUGUCCUUUUUAGGGGAAGAGAUUUUUUUUAGGGAAGGGGAAGAGAGUACAUGUUGUCUGUGUAAGUGUCGAUCGAGGUCCAGCUUAGGCCAAGCCCAAAAAACAGUGCAAAAAACAAUUGCAAAUGAAAUAUAAUUUUCCAAAAAAAUGUUGAUCACCAUAAAAACGAUUCCAUUUUUUAGAAAUGUUCUCAAAAUUACAAAAAAAACACCACCUCAAAAAAUAUAUAUUCAUGUUUUUAUGAACAAUAAUAAGUAAGAUCGAUUUAAAGACUAUUCCACGUGACUACUCGUUCAUCGCAUGAAAGUGCGGAGCUGAAGUAGGUCUUCGGUCUUCAUGUCCGAAUUUUAUGGUCCAAAAUGCUAUGCUCAAUGUAAUUUUAUUUCCAACAUUUGCCAACAUUGGAUAUGAGAGGUGUUGCACAAUGCUAUGUUUUAAAUAUUUUCGCCCGUUGUAACGCACGGGCAUUUGUACUAGUAGUACUAAUCUAAGGGCCGGCCAUUACUGGGCACAGCCGGCCACAUGCACGACGCACACACACCAUGCUGCACAAGGCACACACAACACACAGGGCCAUGGCCAGCUGCAAGCACACAGAACACGCAGAACACACACACACACAUCACACGCACUCACGCACACACAACACAUAGUUAGGAGUUAAUUCUGUUAUCUGAACAUAGCAUUUUGCGAUUUUUAUAUGAUUUAAUCCAGGCAUCCAAGGGAUUUGGUCCAAUGGGAUAAAAUGGAGUUCGUCAUGCAAACUUUCUACUCAUAUUAUUUUUGCUGAUGUUAGCAGUUGGUUAGCCACUGUUUAGAGACAAUCUAGAAGGUUAGUCAUUGUAAAAAUAAGAAAGCUAGCUAGUAGUAUCUACCGUAGCAAGCACUACAUGCAGAGCAGCGAUGGAAAGAAAAGAAGCAGCAAAAGUGCAGCAGCACGCAGAGCAUCAGCGCGAGAGGCGCGUGGACGUCGCCGGCUAGCGACUGCGGGCACGGCCGGGGCGACCAAGGCGCGGGCGGGAAGCAUGGCCGGCGCGGCCAGCUGAGCAGUGGCAGGCAGCGCAGUAGCAGCUCUGCAGCAGCAACAGUGGCAGCCGGAGGCGAGUGGGAGCAGCACGCGGGCGGCCGAAGGCGGUGGGCACGCGCGCUGUGCGGAGGCGGGCGCGCGGCAGGUAGAGCUGGCGCACGGGCACGGCCAGGCGACGAGGCGAGGUGAGGCACGGCGGGACGGGCACCGGGUGCGACGAGCAGGAGGCGCAGGCGAAGACUACGGUGGUGAUGGCAACGAUGGCUACAGGCGACCAAACAAAGCGUUGGGAGAGGGGUUCCGUACGGGGGCUCACCGUGAAGGCACAAGGAAGCCCGUCGAGAGGUUAGGAGCUGCAGUGGCGUGGAUCGACACGACGGAGCUCUGGUGGCCGAAGACGAAGUCAAGGUCGAUCUGCUCGUGCUGGUGCGGCUCCAGUCGAUUUGCUCCUUGUAGGCGAAGUAGGAGACGUAGACGAAGCAGAAGGACAAACUCCUAGGCAUCAGGGAGCUCAGUGGGCGCGAGGGCGAUGGCG